AUGUUAAUUAUCAGUGAUUUAUUUGUGCAGAUAUACACUUAUGUCAGGAGAAACUAUUCUUAUUACUUAUACUAACAUUGAAUGAUUUAAUUAAAUUUAAA